GAGGCAGGAGAAUCGCUUGAACCCGAGAGGCAGAGAUGGCAGUGAGUCGAGACUGCUCCACUGCACUCCAGUCUGGGCAGCAGAGCGAGACUCCAUCUCAAAAAAAAAAAAAGAAAGAAAGAAAAACAAAAUGUGGUUUACAUAUAAAAUGGAAUAUUACUCAGCCAUACAAAGGAAGGAAGUUCUCAUACAUUAUUUUUUGAGAUGGAAUUUUGGUCUUGUUGCCC
rnacentral:lncRNA from 1 species